AACGAACGCUGGCGGCAGGCUUAACACAUGCAAGUCGAGCGCCCCGCAAGGGGAGCGGCAGACGGGUGAGUAACGCGUGGGAACGUACCUUUUGGUUCGGACCAACCCCGGGAAACUGGAGCUAAUACCGGAUAAGCCCUAACGGGGAAAGAUUUAUCGCCGAAGGAUCGGCCCGCGUCUGAUUAGCUAGUUGGUGAGGUAACCGCUCACCAAGGCGACGAUCAGUAGCUGGUCUGAGAGGAUGAUCAGCCACACUGGGACUGAGGCACGGCCCAGACUCCUACGGGAGGCAGCAGUGGGGAAUAUUGGACGAUGGGCGCAAGCCUGAUCCAGCCAUGCCGCGUGAGUGAUGAAGGCCUUAGGGUUGUAAAGCUCUUUUGUCCGGGAAGAUAAUGACUGUACCGGAAGAAUAAGCCCCGGCUAACUUCGUG
rnacentral:rRNA from 1 species